CAGUAGCCACGGGAAUACAGAGGGUGCGAGCGUUAAUCGGAUUUACUGGGCGUAAAGCGUGCGUAGGCGGCUAAUUGAGUCGGAUGUGAAAUCCCCGAGCUUAACUUGGGAAUUGCAUUCGAUACUGGUUAGCUAGAGUGUGGGAGAGGAUGGUAGAAUUCCAGGUGUAGCGGUGAAAUGCGUAGAGAUCUGGAGGAAUACCGAUGGCGAAGGCAGCCAUCUGGCCUAACACUGACGCUGAGGUACGAAAGCAUGGGGAGCAAACAGGAUUAGAUACCCCCGUAGUCCCUGUCUCUUAUAC
rnacentral:rRNA from 1 species